GAUCUAUGGAUUCCUUUAUAAGGUUUCACCCUAAUCUGGUAAAAUUAUGUCACCCUAUGUCUAGCCGUGCAAUCAACCCCGCUUAAUUAUGCUAGAUCUACUAUUAAACAGGGACUUUUACUCCUCUGAAUAAGCACAUCAAUACUUGAAUCAAUAUCUUGGAAUAUUAAAGUAAGAAUUAAGAACAAGUCAAAUAUUUAUCAUAUAAUUCAGAAAAUAAUAACAAGAUCCGUCUUAGGUUUCAUUCCCCUUAGGUAUUUAGGGGAUUUAGUUCAUAAGUGUAAAAGAAAACAUCUCUGAAGAAUAAUGAUAACAAAACACAAAGAAAACCCAAAAACUCCUAAAGGAAAUUGAAGGGAGAUUUUUAGUCUUGAAGGAUAAUCUGGCUUCUGAGAUGGAUCAAUCGGCUUUCUUCGAGUAAUUCCUUGCCUCCUACUCUAUGUGUCUUUUCUAGGUACCUCCUGGGGUGUUUAUAUAGGCUUUAGAAUGCUUCAAAACCCUCAAGAGUGACCUUUUUCUGAAUAGAACUAGACUUGGGCUCGAUAGGGACACGCCCGUGUGCAAGUGCUUCAACUCGUGUUUGAGCCUGUUGAAUAGACACGGGCAUGUGGUCUACCCAUGUAAAGAAGCCUAGGCCGUGUUGAUUUCCCAUGUUGGCUCAUUUUCUCCAUUUUUGGCCCGUUUUUCGCUCUUUUUACUCUCUUAUGCUCACUUAAGUAUAAAACAUGAAAUUAAAGGAUUAGCAGCAUCGAAUUCACCAAAUUUAAGGAGAAAUCAUCCAUAAAUGUGCUUAUCAUGGAAUAAAAAUUUGUAUAAAUUACGGUUUAUCACUCAACAUCUUGGAAUUUUCCUAACUUGGAUACUAGUGAGACAUCAGUAUCACCUGUGAUAGAGACUGGGUCUUGAGAUCAUGCUGUUGGGGACGACGCACUGUCCCAAGCCAUGCUAUCGACUUUAGAAAGGGUCACUAGACCCAACACUGGAUCUAGGGGUCGAGGGUCGGUUACAGAAUGAAUCUGGUCCUAUAGGUCUAAAUUAUUCAGAGGUGUCGCUGGAGCCGCCCCUAAAGUGGCCGAGUAUCGAAUGGAGGCUACGGAGAGAAUUAUGGAUGACCUGGAUGUUACUACUGAGCAGAAGCUUAAGGGGGUUGUAUAUCUGCUUCGUGAUGAGGCGUACCAGUGGUGGUUUACGGUUAAGGAGGGCACUCGGCUCGGCCGACUGACAUGGGAUUUCUUUAAGAUGGCCUUCCAGGGUAAAUAUGUAGGGGCCAGUUAUAUUGACGCUUGUAAUAGCCCAUUUUGGGGGUUAAUUGGAACAGUGGUUUCGGGACCAUAAUCCGAAGUUAAAAUAUUUAUGUUAUUAUUUUAAUAAAGUCUACAGUAUGAUAUUAGAGAUGUGUGAAAGUCUCGUAAGGAAAUUUUACUGUUUGAGUGGUUAAUUCGGUAAAAAGGGCCUCAUCGCGUAAAAAGAAAAAGUUGAUAGUUAAAUGUAAUAAUGUUUAAUUAAAUUUGUCUUCAUAAUAUAAUGCAUUUAUAAUGUAACUAGACCAUUAUAAGGGUUAGUGGAAUUCAUGGCUUGGCAAAUUGGUAAAUAGAAUAAGUUUUAAAAGUUGGUUAGGUAAAUUGAAUAAUAAUAGAUUAAAUAAAUAAAAAAAAUACAAAAGUAUGCUCAUAUUGCUUCAUUAUUGCAGAAUAUGCAAAGAAAGAAUAGGAGAAAAGAGUUUUAAGGGUUCGGCAUAUUUGGGGAAUGAUUUAGGUAAGUUUUAAGCUCGUUUUUCGAUAAUUUUUACGUCUUUGAGAUCGUUGCUUCGUGUUUUACAAAACUCAUGCUUAAAUUUUAGAAUUUGAUGAUGAUUUCAUGAGAUGCCAUUGCUCAUUUUGUGAGCAUUGUGAUGAUAAAUGGUGAAAUGUGAAAGCUUGAUGAUAGAUAAAUAUAUUUUGUAUUGGGAUUUUUGAUGAAUUUGAAUAGUUUGGGCUAAUUUAUGAAAAUGAUAAAUUGAGGGACUAAAAUGUGAAAUAAAUUGUAUAUAUAAGCUUAUAAGGACUAGAGGAAAUUCGGCCAAGCAUGAGUGUGGUCAAAUUUUGAAUAUUUUGUGUUUUGUGAAAUAGGGACUAAAUUGUGAAAAAUGUGAAAUGUCAGGGGCAAAAGUACAAUUAGUCCAUUUAUGUGUUUUUAGAUUAAUUUGAUUGAGUAUAUGAUUAAAUAAGUUGAAUUUGCAUUGAAUUAGAUCAAGAAAUGAGAAAAUCGAAUUUGGAUGGGGGAAAGUCGAAAAUAAUCGAAUAGUCGUUUCGGUCCGUUCGUAUCCGUAUAAGGUAAGUUCAUAAGUAAUUGUCGAAACCAUUUUUUUGAAAAAAAACAGGAUAUCAACUUUGUUUGAAAACGAAAAUUAAAACGGGAGUCGCCACCGAUCUUUAUUGGGUGUGAUCAGAUCACCCUUGUUUUAAUAAAACAUUUUAGUUUACUAAAACGACAUUUUGGUCUACGAAAUUUGAGAAAACGGGUUCGGGAGUCGGUUACGUACGAGGAAGGAUUAGCACCCUCAUAGUGCCCAAAAUUGGUACCUAAUUGAUUAAUUAAUGUCUUAAUGUCGAAGUUUGAAAAGAUUUCAGAGUACAAUCCUUUUAUUUGAAAGAAAAUCGGGAUUAUUUGAAUAAAAUGUAAAGAUCGACUCAUUUCAAAGGAGAGAAUGCCAUACCCGGUAAGUUAGGGUCCAACAUUUCAGACCUUUGGGACUAAGUUGGUCUUUGAUUUUUAAAAUUCAUGUAUGAAGGCUCGAGAGAAUGAUAUUCGGUCCUCCAGGACUCAUGAAAGAUUAGAACUCAGUAAGUUAGAGCUCAAUCUCUCAGAUCUCCCAAAUACCGAAGGUUGCCUUGAUUUUGGAAAUCACUACCCUCAAUAUAACGUGAUGCCACACCCAGUAAGUUAGGGUGCAACAUCCUGAAUUUCAAGAAUAGGUUUUUAUUUGAACCUCAUACAAUUAUAUUUAAGAAGGGUACUCAAUUAUUUAGGUUCAACGACGAAAAUUAGUACUCAGUAAGUUAGGGCACAAUCUUCCCGAGGACCCCAGAUAUCGAAUAUUGCCUUUGUUUUGAAAACAAUCGAGGAUAAAUCUUUGAAUAAAAUGAAUUUGGGGCGGUUGAAACUCAACAAAAAAAAUGAUGACAUGCAAUAUGAAAAUAGCAGUAUAAUAGUAAACUUGACAGUGUAUAAAUUAAUACCUAGAAUAUAGUAAAUAUAAGGAAAAUCAACAAUAAUCAUAACAAUAGUAAUAAAUAUAAUAACAUAACAAACAUAGCGAUAAAGAUAUUAACAAUACGAAAAUGCAUAAUAGAAGUGAAAAUAAUAUGUCGAAUGAUGAUGUAUAUAUAUAGUGAUAAUAGUAAAGUUAAAAUAACAAUGCUAAAUUAGUGAAAGUGAAAAAUAAUAAAUAAUAAUAUAGUAUAAAAAAUAUUCGAUGAAAAAAAAACUAUGGUAUAUAAAAAUAAUAGAGUAGGUCUAUUAAUAAUUAUAAAAAACUUUAGCGAAAAAUAUAUAUAAAAAUUUCUGGGGUAAUUUGAAAGCAUUUAAAGAAAACAAAAAAGGACUUGAUUGAACGUAGGCACACAGGACAGGGACUAAUCACGAAAAUUUCCCAUUUAAAAGAAAUGUGCACAUUUCCAUCCCUUGAAUGCACGGUCAGCUUUUCCCCUUCCCCAGGCUCUACUUUUGAGGAGAAAAAAACAAAUGAAGCCUACUUUUUUAUUUUUUUUAUUUUUAAAACAUUGAACACCCUUUUUUUUAAAACAAAAAAAAAACAUUUACCCAUCAUCUCUCUUAUUUUCCUUAAAGAAAAACAGAGAGAAACCUCUCAAAUUUUCUCUCAGGCCUGCGCCACCCUCAUCGGAGGUCCGGUGAGCAAAGGUCGCGAGUUCGUCAGUAAGUCCCCUCUCUCCCUCUCUUGUUUUUUUUAAAAAAAACGUUUUUUAAAAAAAAUUAAAAGGGAACAGAACAAAUGAAAUCCAAAUCAAGAGAAAAUUCCAAAAAAAAUAAAAAAAUCACCUUCCAAAACUUAGUUCUGAUUCUUGAUUUACUCUUCCACUUUGUAUUAUCUCCGAAGAAAAAAUAUAUAUCCCCCCAAAAAUACAACCGAUUCUUCCCUUUGAAAUCUCCAAAAAAAUCCCCCUGUAUUACAUUCAGAUCUGGCCUUUAUAGCCAUUUCAAUACAACAUUUUUUUAAAUUUCUUACCAUUGCUUCCUGUCGUCUGCCUCUGUCUUAGUGUUGGCUUUCUUUUUUGUCUUAUUCUGCAGGUGAUGGAAAUCAACAGGUGGGUGCACAUGGAGGAGUUGGUGGGAGUGUCAGACGCGUGGGGCGUGGUGGCCAAGGCUGAGGGGCAUGGUGGCCGACAUGGUGGCAUGGAGAGCUAGGGUGCUAAGGGUUUGCUGUUGAAAAACCUUAAGCAAGUGGCCUGUUAUUUGGGCUAGGGUUUGAUGUAAAUUGGGCUGUUUAAUAUUGUAAAUAGGCUAAUUAUUUUGGACUCUUUUUUAUUGUUUUGGGUUUUGUUAUUUUUUAUUUGUCUGGGCCCGGGCAAUUUUCUGAUAUACAUAAAGUAAAUAGAAAAAGAUUCGAAGUGGAUUUCUCGACCCGUGAAAUGAAAAAAUAGCCUCUGGAGUUUUUUUGUUUUAUAUUCAUCUGAAGGAAAUAUGAGAAAGAAAACAAUAACAAUAAAUAAAAGAAAUAAAAUGAAGGAAAUAUAUCAGACUAUAGUAAUUUAAUACACAUAGAAAUUAGAAAAAUACAUAAAAAUAUUGAUUUUUAUCAAUUUCACGAACAAGAUCCAAGAAUAAGAUUAUUUGAUGGAGGGGGAGGG
rnacentral:lncRNA from 1 species